rnacentral:rRNA from 1 species
CCUACGUGUGGCAGCAGUGGGGAAUAUUGGACAAUGGGCGAAAGCCUGAUCCAGCCAUGCCGCGUGUGUGAAGAAGGCCUUCGGGUUGUAAAGCACUUUCAGUGGGGAAGAAAGCCUUGGGGCUAAUACCCUCGAGGAAGGACAUCACCCACAGAAGAAGCACCGGCUAACUCCGUGCCAGCAGCCGCGGUAAUACGGAGGGUGCGAGCGUUAAUCGGAAUUACUGGGCGUAAGCGCGCGUAGGCGGUCUGAUAAGCCGGUUGUGAAAGCCCCGGGCUCAACCUGGGAACGGCAUCCGGAACUGUCAGGCUAGAGUGCAGGAGAGGAAGGUAGAAUUCCCGGUGUAGCGGUGAAAUGCGUAGAGAUCGGGAGGAAUACCAGUGGCGAAGGCGGCCUUCUGGACUGACACUGACGCUGAGGUGCGAAAGCGUGGGUAGCAAACAGGAUUAGAUACCCUGGUAGUC